rnacentral:rRNA from 1 species
UACGAAAGGGGGCUAGCGUUGCUCGGAAUCACUGGGCGUAAAGGGGUGCGUAGGUGGAUUUUUAAGUCAGGGGGUGAAAUCCUGGAGCUCAACUCCAGAACUGCCUUUGAUACUGGGAAUCUUGAGUUCGGGGAGAGGUGAGUGGAACUGCGAGUGUAGAGGUGAAAUCGUAGAUUAUUCGCAAGAACACCAGUGGCGAAGGCGGCUCACUGGCCCGAUACUGA